CCUAUGCUACAAUAAACCAAGAAUGCUACGCGACGGCAGCUACGAACUUCGAAAGAGGGUGAUAGCUAUGGUUUUAGGACUGUAGUGCAUCGCAAAUCUUUGGAAAGGAGUGGCAUUGUGUCUGUCAAAGACGCACUUGAUUUAAUGUUUCAGUUCGGCAGUUUCGUUCUUGCCUUGC
rnacentral:sRNA from 1 species